rnacentral:rRNA from 1 species
GGAAACUGUCAUUCUUGAGUGCAGAAGAGGAGAGUGGAAUUCCAUGGUGUAGCGGUGGAAUGCGUAGAUAUAUGGAAGAACACCAGUGGCGAAGGCGGCUCUCUGGUCUGCAACUGACGCUGAGGCUCGAAAGCAUGGGUAGCGAACAGGAUUAGAUACCCUGGUAGUCCAUGCCGUAAACGAUGAACCGCUAGGUGUUGGGGACUUUCCGGUCCUCAGUGCCGCAGCAAACGCAUUAAGCGCUCCGCCUGGGGAGUACGACCGCAAGGUUGAAACUCAAAGGAAUUGACGGGGGGCCCGCACAAGCGGUGGAGCAUGUGGGUUAAUUCGAAGCAACGCGAAGAACCUUACCAGGUCUUUGACUUCCUGGGCUACCCCUAAAAAUAGGGGGUUCCCUUCCGGGAACGACAAAACAGGGUGGUGCAUGGCU